UACGAAGGGGGCUAGCGUUGUUCGGAAUUACUGGGCGUAAAGCGCGCGCAGGCGGUCCUCCAAGUCAGUGGUGAAAGCCUGGAGCUCAACUCCAGAACUGCCAUUGAAACUGUUAGACUUGAGUACGAGAGAGGUGAGUGGAAUUCCCAGUGUAGAGGUGAAAUUCGUAGAUAUUGGGAAGAACACCGGUGGCGAAGGCGGCUCACUGGCUCGUAACUGACGCUCAGGCGCGACAGCGUGGGGAUCAAACAGG
rnacentral:rRNA from 1 species